ensembl:misc_RNA 7SK 7SK RNA
GGAUGUGAGGGCGAUUUAGCUGCAACAUCUGUCACCCCAUUGAUCGCCAGGGUUGAUUCGGCUGAUCUGCGUGGCUAGGCGGGUGUCCUCUUCCUCCCUCACCCCUCCAUGUGCGUCUCUCCCGAAGCUGUGGCUCAAUUGAAGAGGACGACCACCCCCCAUUGAGGAGGGCCGUUUCCUCCGUCAAUAGUAUACUACUAGCUGAGCUCCUCAGCUAGAGCCUCCAAACAAGCUCUCAAGGAGUCUGGACCAGGUUUAAUCAAAUCUCUAAGGAAUUGCAGCAGAGGGACAGGAAGCUGACAUCUGGAUGACAAUAU